rnacentral:rRNA from 1 species
AACGAACGCUGGCGGCAUGCCUAACACAUGCAAGUCGAACGAGACCUUCGGGGCUAGUGGCGCACGGGUGCGUAACGCGUGGGAAUCUGCCCUUGGGUUCGGAAUAACAGUUAGAAAUGACUGCUAAUACCGGAUGAUGUCGUAAGACCAAAGAUUUAUCGCCCAGGGAUGAGCCCGCGUAAGAUUAGCUAGUUGGUGGGGUAAAGGCCUACCAAGGCAACGAUCUUUAGCUGGUCUGAGGGGAUGAUCAGCCACACUGGGACUGAGACACGGCCCAGACUCCUACGGGAGGCAGCAGUGGGGAGUAUUGGACAAUGGGCGAAAGCCUGAUCCAGCAAUGCCGCGUGAGUGAUGAAGGCCUUAGGGUUGUAAAGCUCUUUUACCAGGGAUGAUAAUGACAGUACCUGGAGAAUAAGCUCCGGCUAACUCCGUGCCAGCAGCCGCAGUAAAAC